GGUAGCAUGGCUGAGUGGUCUAAGGCGCUGGUUUAAGGCACCAGUCUCUUUGGAGGCAUGGGUUCGAAUCCCACUGCUGCUG
rnacentral:tRNA from 1 species